rnacentral:rRNA from 1 species
AUUGAACGCUGGCGGCAUGCUUUACACAUGUAAGUCGAACGGUAACAGGGUGCUUGCACCGCUGACGAGUGGCGAACGGGUGAGUAAUACAUCGGAAUGUACCCAGUAAUGGGGGAUAACGCUUCGAAAGGAGUGCUAAUGCCGCAUACGCCCUGAGGGGGAAAGUGGGGGACCGCAAGGCCUCACGUUAUUGGAGCAGCCGAUGGCUGAUUAGCUAGUUGGUGAGGUAAGGGCUCACCAAGGCGACGAUCAGUAGCGGGUCUUAGAGGACGAUCCGCCACACUGGAACUGAGACACGGUCCAGACUCCUACGGGAGGCAGCAGUGGGGAAUCUUGGACAAUGGGCGAAAGCCUGAUCCAGCAAUGCCGCGUGCGUGAAGGAGGCCUUCGGGUUGUAAAGCGCUUUUGUCUGGGAGCAAAUCCUGGCCUCUAAUACAGGUCGGGGAUGAGAGUACCAGAAGAAUAAGGACCGGCUAACUACGUGCCAGCCGCCGCAGUAAUAC